UCAGAAAGACAGCUCAUCUGAAGUUCAAUUUCUUUGCUUAGCAGAUAUUGAAGUUUUUACAUAAGAUAGAACUUAUGAAAUGUUUGCCUGAGAUUUCCCAUGUGUCAGUCGCACACAGCCCAGCUGUGUUUCCAGCCAGCAAUGCUGCUUACCCAUGGAGCAGUGCAAGUGCUCUCCUGCCCCGUGGUUCUGCUGCUGGGCUCUGUAGGGAAAUAGCAGUCAUGUUACAGGGGUGCUCCCACCUGCAUAGCCUGCUUCCAAGGUGUUCCUUACAGGUGUUGACUCCACUAGGAGAAAAUAUGCUUCCUAUUUAAGUAAGUCUGUUGUUUCUUACAGAGCAUGUCUCAAACGUUAACAAACACCAUAUUUGAUGCUUCUUCCUCUGCCUAAGAAUAUAACUUUAUCAAAAGGAAAUUUCCUGCUCAUUUGAGCAGUCUCCAUAGCAACAGUACUGUACACCUGUGAUGUAUGGGCACAAGCCGUUACAACCUAUGAACUAGCUGGAGUGAGCUGUGCCCCACCCCCUGCCAAAGCUAGAGUACAUCUCCCAUGUAUCCAUGGCACCUGGUUCUCCAUGCCACUGUUGCUAGCAGAAGCCCAGGUACGACAAACCCUCCGGGAGGCUCUUCAGAUACGCUCAGGAAGAUGUUGCUGAGCAGCACGAUCAGUUAGCUGUGCAAAAGCCAUCUCAUGGUGUCAGGAAGAUGCCAUGCUCCAGUUGCCCUGCAUCCUGCUGCCACAGGCUAUGUGCAUGCAGCAGCAUUACCAGAGGAGAUGAUUCCAGAGUCCAACACCUGAGCAUGGCCCCUCUGUCCUCAGCACCGCACCCUGCCCUCCAGCUCCCACAUGAGGAUUUGCUCCCAGAUGUUGUCACAGAAGUCAUUGGAAGGUGACAUGGAGACAUGUCCUGCAAUGGUGAGGAGAGGAAAGCCACUGACUUCAGAGCAAUGGAGAACGAAGAUGCCUUUGUCUUCACCCUCAAAUACAUCUGUGCUUCUGAAUCAGUGGCAGGGAGGUUGCUUACAGUCAUGCUAUUUUUACUGCAGUGAAAGCAAAGGAAGGCAUGCAAGGCUGUGAGCACAGAACACCUCAGCUUCCUCACGCCGAAUGCUGCCUGUGAAGUCUGCUUUGCCACUUAAGGGAUGCUAAAUGGAAGCUAGCCAAUGAAACGGAGGUAAAUUUAAUUACAAAAAUAUAACAUUCUUCAAAACCAACAGCUCACUCUCUCCCCAAUGAGGAAAAAUUAAAAUAAAAGCCCUUUGGAAACGCUGAGGAAAUAUCAGGGGCUGAGGUGAAAGGGACACAGCUUGACAAGUAUGCUGAAAGCUGAAUGUGGAUUACCCGUGAGUGCAAAAAUGAAUAAAUGUGUUUUAUUCCAUUAUAUUAAUGAAAUGGUUAAUUCGGUUGCUAUAGCAACGAAGAACAGCCUUGCUAAAAAGCUAAAGGGCUAUACAUAAUGCCUGCUACAAGGUCUCUCUAAUUCUAAAGCUGAUUUUCUUAGCUACAAUAGAAGUGAUAUGUGUUUUCAAUAUCAUCUUAAGCUUUUGCAUCAAAUCCUGAAGCUAAUCCAAUAAAUAGACUGGUAGCAUAAAAUAGCAUAUAUGUUUGCACCUCAUAAAACUUACAAAAGGGGCUUACCUACACACAAUCAAAAGAAAAGAUCGAUAGAGUGCAGAGUGAGGCUUUUUAAAAGACCGUUCUUCAUGCGAUGGUGAAACAGCAAAUAUGUACAAUGGGAAGUUCCUGCUAUUACACAUCAUGUGACUGUGCAGGAAAUCACUGCAGAGCUGGCUGAGACACCAAGACAUAAUUUUGCUUACCGCCCUGAUACAUAUUUAUGUAGAAUUUAUUUCUAUUUCACUUGCAUUUUAUAUUUUUUCAAAUAAUAUAAAUAAUUCUUAAAGGCUUCAAAAAAGGAAUUCCACCGUGCUUGUUUUUGUUCAAACAUCAAAGUGAUGCAAGGGCUGACCGGGGCAGCAGCGCAGAGGACAGACUGAAUCUCAUGAAGCCAAAGCAGAGCACGAGGGCCCUGGGCAGCCCUUGCAGCCCCUGCUUGGGGCAGUCAGCACCAUAUGGCCCUGCUGCUUCCAUCGGGACGGGGAUGGCCAUGCAGCCAAGCGUCUCUGCCCUUCGCUUUGCCUCUCUUGUUAGCGUCAGAGUUGUCAAACGUCCUAUCGCUCACCCUUCCUAAAAGAAAUGAGAAUGCAGUACACCCACACGAGUGGCAGAAGGCUCUGACCGUCUCAGACUUACAGAUCUCUGUUGUGCACCUGCACAAAGGAAAGGCUGCCUCUUAUCUGCAGGCCAUCUCAUCUGCAUGACAAUGGGAGUUUGGUUCCCCAUAAACCCUAUUUCUCAACAAUUACAUAUGGAGACUUCAGAGACAAGCCCUAACCCUGUCUUCAGCAAGCAGAAGGAGGGCUGUGGCUCCAGACCAGGCAGGUGAGAAGUGUGGCCUUGGAGAGUCCUGCAGACAUAGACAAUGGGAGCUGCCCAUGGAGGCACCCAAUGUGUUUGCCUCUUCCCUGACUGAAAUGCAAGCAAAGAUCUCCGGAGGUGGCUGGCAGUCAUACCAAGGAGUAACCUUAACUGUGCUGUAAUGUAAUGUGCUUGGUGUAAAAAAAGAUGAGCUAGGGAAGCCCAGACACAAAGGCUGCAGGCACAUUCUCUUGAAGAAAUGACCACAGAGUGCACGGUUCCUCGGAAAAGAAAAAUGGCAACAACAGAGAUGAGCAACCCAGAUGGCCCAUAAGGAGCUUAAUUAACUGAUAGACCCAGCAGCGACACUACAACUAGCAAUCCAGCUGCCUACAGAUUCUGCCAGGUUGCCAGAUGUUGCCAAUGAAAACUUAUCUUGCACAGUUCAUCAAAGAAGUGGAGCAUCUUGGUGAAGGAAAACUGUUGCCAAUAAAAUAAAUACUUUAUCUAAAAAAGUAUUUUCUACUAGGAAAUGUUGAAAAGUAUAAAAAUUUAACAAUGUGCCCAACCUCACUGUUACAGUAGAUAAAUUAGGAAACAUACAUACAGAACGUGUUGGCAGGAUCUUCUUCUUGACAGGAAAUAUCCAUGCUUACCAUCAUCUCUCUAAGGCUACAGUCUUGGACUGUGUUAAAAAAGGUGGUUUUAUGAAGCAUGGGGCUGCUGCCACUCAGUUGGGGUUUGGCUAGUUUGCCUGAAACUAGCAAGUUAUUUUGCCACAUUGAGAUAACAAAGCUAGAGGAACCAAUAGUGACAGCACUACAUACGGGAAGAUGGGGAGAGGGAUGCAGGGACAGUGAGCCACUCUGGGGCUGCUGGCUGCUGAGCCAUCUAUUCCAUGGGUGCACUCUCCUGUGUCCUUGAAGAGACAGUGCAGAAGGGCGGUGACUCCAGACAGGUAGCCUGUGUGUUUCUCCUGCCCAAUUUUAGGGACCAAGCAAAUGGGUGUCUGCAAUCGAGUCCUCCUCUAAGAAAUGGUAAAGCAUCAGAGCAAUGCGCAAAUACAUUGGCUGCAACACUGGAAAUACAGGCUGCCCAUCAGGUUCGUGCACAAACACUGGUUUUAAUUUUGCUAAGAGAUCAAAUUAAUGUUUCAUUUCAAAUCAUGAAAAAUACAUAUUUUAAAAAUCCUGUGUAAUUUUUCAAGUGCAGCUAUUAUUGUUGCCAAUGCUGUGCCUUGGAAAUACUGUGUAUGUUCAUCCUAGAGGCCAAAAAACAAACUGCCUGUAUAGCCUGUUAGCAAGGCAAAACAUCUCUUUUUCCAAUGAACGUGUACGAGUGCACUGGGAUUCACACAAGCAGAUUUGGCAGACUUUUCAAGUAUUUCUUGGACUGAAGAGCAUGCACUGAACAUGGGGAGCUUUUUCUGCUCAGGAAUAUGAUGUGAAUAAGAAUGUGCUAGUGCGGCAUAGGAGGAUGGGCUGUGGCAUUUCUAUCAUUAUUUAAUUUGUCAAAUACAGUUUACAAUAUUUUAUAACAGUAAUCAACAGAACAACGUGUCUAAAUGCUGUGAGGGUCAGGGUUGCAGGAUCUGGCUCAGUAUGCCUUUAAUAAUACAUAAUUCUUUAAAUGUGCAGAUAAAUCAUUAAAAUAUAUGAGCUUAAUUUGGAACCUUUUAUGCUUUGAAAAUUCAUAUCCCUUUUUAAAUAACUGGCUACAGCACUUGCAAAAUGGAUCAGAUUUUACUGAUUUGUUUCCUUGAAUGUGCUCAGCGGGAUGGACUCCCCAAGAUGGAGGCAUAAACCUACAAAACCCAGGUCUUUUGUAUCUUCCUCCACCCACUGUUAACACCUCACCUGACUGAGGGGUUAAGACCUGCAGGAGACCUAAAUGUGGCCAUUUCUCUGAGUUCCACACAGAUAUAUCACUGACUGUCAGAGGUAGAAAUUAUCCACAUUCCUUUGGGAAUGCAUUUCCCGAAUCUGUUAAUGGACUUGGGAGAGGAGGAGUGGAGAAAAGGGUGGGUGGCAAGAAAGAAAUCUGAACAACAUAACUUGUUAUUCCUCUUUUAGUUAAAAAAAAAAAAA